AGAACUGAUGAUCAGGGUUGGAUAUGGUGUCCCAUUCACUCUCUAGCCUCAAGCCCAGAGCCAAGCGGCUCUCUUCCACAUUUUCAUCAGUCCUCACGCUCUUAAAUAUGAGCAAUGUCUCUCAUUUCGCUCCCAACGCUUUGUCUUUCUCUCUCUCAAAUAGGAGACAUGUCUCUCACUUUCUCACUCAUCAACAACACAGCAAAAGAGGUUCAGGGAGUGCAUCACGCCUGCAAACGGAAUAGCGGGCCUCAUUUCCGUCCAAUCCAAGAGCUUAAAGGAACUUUGAGCCGCCGUCAGUACCAAUGAAGAGACAACGGAAUUGCUACAACAGCUCAGAUCCGGCGAUGCACUGGAAAACAAAACAGGAAAUGCUCGGACCCAAAGCCUAAGGAUCUGUACCCGUGCUCUCCUCUGUGUUGCUUGGAUCCCACCCACAAACUUGUAUGUAGUGAUAUUUUAAAUAAAAUGCGAGGGAGUGAUUGAGGGAGAGGGGGUGCCAAGCAAUGCAAUGGACUUCAUCACCAACCCCACUGUAAGUAUGUCUGGAACUCUGCCCGUGCAUCUUUCUGCAUUCCCUUAGUUUCUGUAGUGCUGAAUCUCAUUAAUGUUGAUGAAUUUACGAUGAAUGCUCUGACGUGAAUGUAUGUUGAAUGCUGCUGAAUGCAUGAUUCAGGCGAAUGUGCGCAUUUAUUGGAUAUUUGGGGCUGAAUUGUUUCCAAAUGCAACCUGCAAUGAUCACACAAUAAGAAUCUAAUUAGCAUAAGCCCAAAAUAAAAUACUGAUUAACUAAGAAUAUGGCUGUUUUUGUGUUUCUCAAUUUCCUAAAUUUUUUUAUUUUUUGAUAAGAAAUUAAAAGCAAGGAAAUAAAAUGAACGAAAAUAAAAAUGAAAUGAGUUUAGAAAAAUUUGGGUUGCCUUUCAAUUAGUGCUUUAGUUAACGUAUAUAGCUAGACAUAGAGGAAAGAAUUGAUGAUCACGUCACUUGUUCUCUUAAAAUCAAUCACACUUUAACAGCAUCACAUGGCUGUGGGUACAGAAUGAGAUGUUUGUCAAUUAUGUGUUUCAGUGGAGUGGUUGAAUCCUUCAUAUUCGGCCUUCUAUGUGAAUGAAGCACCCAUAGUUUCUGUAAUGGUUGAAGUUCUUUACAAGGAAUAUGGCUGUCAAUAAGCUUUUUCUUCUUCCACUUGUAAAUAUUAGCCUUCUUGAAGGAUUUGCCCAGAUUCUCGUUAAAGUUGAUGGACUGUGCUAUUGGCGUGUCCAAUUCAGCAACCAAAAUUUUCUGAUCAAUAGCCAGUUGCUCUGGAUCCAAUAUGCUGAUUUUGUAUGAAUAGCUUCAUCCAACACAUCAGUUUUAAUGAACUCCUGCAGCUUAGUGGGUUGCGUUGCAGCCUCUGCAUAGGAUGUGCGUGGCAUAUAAACUUGGGUAGUAAUUGGAUCUGUGGGAAUUUCAGUAUCAGCAGGUGCUGUUUCUUCCAUCGGGCAUGAGUCAUCGACCUGGGAUUCUUCAAUUUCAGAUUCGUUCAUCCUAUCGUUGGUUUUUUCCCAUCUCUAUCUUUGAUCAACAUAGCACUCUUCUGAAACUUGCUGGUUAGCAAUUGGUUGAGUAGGAAAAAUUGAAUCGGAAUCGUUUUCUUAUUCUGCUAAUUGGUAUGCGAGCUGCCCAUUUUGCUGCUCUAGACUGUUGAUUGAUUUUAUUUUCUACAACUUAAGGGUACUCUCCAUAAACAACCUAAUGGACUCCUCCAACUUAGCAAUCUGGUACUCCAAAGAAAGUUUCUGUGGCACACAGGGCUGCUAAAAUCCCUGUUGAUUGCUUACCCACAUAACAGGAUGCUCUGUCCAUCGAGGGUAAGAGUUUGAAUAUGAAUCGUUCUCGUUUUCUGGGAAUUGAUACGCACGCUGUCCAUCUUGCUGUUCAAUUAUCUUUGCUGAUGGUUUGGUAUUCGGCAUUCUAUCAACAAAUUGCUUGACACACUGCCAAUUCAGCAAGUUUGUCAUCUAGAGCAGAUCUUUGUGGCACACUUUGCAAUUCAAAGGGCUCUUGAUUACCCAUCCACAUAGAACUAGGCUGCUCUGUCCACCUUGGAUUGUAAAAGUUUGAGUAUGGAUCGCACCUAGGCCCUUGAGAGUUCCUCAUAUUGAUAAUUCCAUGAAGGCAACCCUCCUUUUGGUUGUAGAUUCUAGCCCAUCGUUUAAGUGUUCUCAAAACCAACAAAACAUAACCUACAAAAAUAAAAAUAAAAUCAACAAGUAAAAAGAUAUAUACCAAAAUAAUUAACUAAGAAUAUGAUAAACAUAUUAGUUGAAACAAUCCACUUAUUUGAUAGGAUUUUUACCAUGUGCACAAAUAGGGAUAAAAACACUUAAAAAUACUUGCAAGGG